rnacentral:rRNA from 1 species
UACGUAGGGUCCGAGCGUUGUCCGGAAUUACUGGGCGUAAAGAGCUCGUAGGUGGUUUGUCGCGUUGUUCGUGAAAACUCACAGCUCAACUGUGGGCGUGCGGGCGAUACGGGCAGACUUGAGUACUGCAGGGGAGACUGGAAUUCCUGGUGUAGCGGUGGAAUGCGCAGAUAUCAGGAGGAACACCGGUGGCGAAGGCGGUUCUCUGGGCCUUACCUGACGCUGAGGAGCGAAAGCGUGGGGAGCGAACAGG